rnacentral:tRNA from 1 species
GCAUCCACUGGAAGAUGUCGAGGUUCCCGCUGCCUAAUAAAGAGGCAAAUUCGUAGGUUCGAUUCCUGCUGGAUGCAC